UACGUAGGUGGCAAGCGUUGUCCGGAAUUAUUGGGCGUAAAGCGCGCGCAGGCGGUCCUUUAAGUCUGAUGUGAAAGCCCACGGCUCAACCGUGGAGGGUCAUUGGAAACUGGGGGACUUGAGUACAGAAGAGGAAAGCGGAAUUCCACGUGUAGCGGUGAAAUGCGUAGAGAUGUGGAGGAACACCAGUGGCGAAGGCGGCUUUCUGGUCUGUAACUGACGCUGGGGCGCGAAAGCGUGGGGAGCAAACAGG
rnacentral:rRNA from 1 species